AUUGAACGCUGGCGGCAGGCCUAACACAUGCAAGUCGAGCGGAUGAAGGGAGCUUGCUCCUGGAUUCAGCGGCGGACGGGUGAGUAAUGCCUAGGAAUCUGCCUGGUAGUGGGGGAUAACGUCCGGAAACGGGCGCUAAUACCGCAUACGUCCUGAGGGAGAAAGUGGGGGAUCUUCGGACCUCACGCUAUCAGAUGAGCCUAGGUCGGAUUAGCUAGUUGGUGGGGUAAAGGCCUACCAAGGCGACGAUCCGUAACUGGUCUGAGAGGAUGAUCAGUCACACUGGAACUGAGACACGGUCCAGACUCCUACGAGAGGCAGCAGUGGGGAAUAUGGGACAAUGGGCGAAAGCCUGAUCCAGCCAGGCCGCGUGUGUGAAGAAGGUCUUCGGAUUGUAAAGCACUUUAAGUUGGGAGGAAGGGCAGUAAGUUAAUACCUUGCUGUUUUGACGUUACCAACAGAAGAAGCACCGGCUAACUUCGUG
rnacentral:rRNA from 1 species